AUGUCCUGAAGAUCAUGGACCGUGCCCGAUGCCAUCAUUUAAAUUUCUCAGGUGGCCUCAACCCCUGUCAGCGGCUCCUACACUGUGACCUCACUCAGCUCCACUCCCCAGAACUCCAGGUCUGGCAGUGUUGAUGCAAUUCCAGAGAUUCGUUAGAAAACUGAAAGUUCCAAUAUUUGAUCAAAAGAAACCUCAACAAGAGAAGCAGAAAACAUUCCUUCUUCCUGGAAAGCUGUAGAAAGACAGCCACUGUCCUGGGGAAAGACACGGUCCUGGUAAGUGCUAUUUGAAAGACACCCACAUUUCGGUGGUUAUUGCUCUGCCUGGGAAAGUCCCUCCAACCUCUACAUCCAGGGAGAUCUGAGGGGCUGUCUCUGCUCCUGGCCCAGGUGAACCACACUGAAAUGCACCUGUCCUCUGAGGAACGGGGACUUGAGGGUGUCAUUCAGUAGCCAGGGAGGGGACUGGCCCUCCUCCCUUCUCCCACAUACAAUAAGCUGUGACCAUACACCCGUUCUUAAUUCAAGGAGGAAAACGAGAUUCUGUGUCUCAUUUACAUGAGCAUAAGCAGUGAAAGAACCAUACCACAACACCCAGGCUGUGACAGAAACAGGAUAUAACGUAAGAGUCAAAUCUACCAUUUACUAUUAAAGAAAUAAUAUCGCUCCUCCCCAAUGGGUAAACAGUCGCUGGGGUGGAGAUGUCAGGGAGUUGGAGGGGGGUCGUGCCCUCCCUCUGGGGCUUUAGGGGAAACCAGGGAAAG